rnacentral:rRNA from 1 species
UACGGGGGGGGGCAAGCGUUGUUCGGAAUUACUGGGCGUAAAGGGCGCGUAGGCGGCCUUCUAAGUCGGACGUGAAAUCCCUCGGCUUAACCGAGGAACUGCGUCCGAUACUGAAAGGCUUGAAUCCGGGAGAGGGAUGUGGAAUUCCAGGUGUAGCGGUGAAAUGCGUAGAUAUCUGGAGGAACACCGGUGGCGAAGGCGGCAUCCUGGACCGGUAUUGACGCUGAGGCGCGAAAGCGUGGGGAGCAAACGGG